AGGGGGAAAAGUUUUCAGACAAUAAAUGUUAUUAUUUUAAAGUAUAAUGAGGGCACACAGCAGCUUGAAGUAACCUAGGACAUGUACAUUGUGACUUUGUCCCAAUUUAAGGAACAAUGACCUAUCAAAAGGCAGUUAUAUCGGGACAAAUUCAAGUGUAGAGAGAGAUGAUUUGAGUUUCUACCAGUAGAACUGACCUCAGCUUUGGAUGCAGCAUAUGUGUAAGUGACAUCUUGGUUGCAGUACUCUUCAUCACUCAAAAAGAUUUUUCAGUGCCAAAAGUCUGAGAAGAUGACGGGACUGAGAUAAGAACUGAAAAUAUUUUUGAUCAGAAAAAAUUGUGAAGGUUUCAAAGCUUAUAAAGCAAAUGCAGUUAUUUUCUUGACUCUAAACUGUCCUCUAAACUUUUUCCCCCAGGCAAAUUUUUGCAGCCUCAACCGAUGCCACAAGCAGCAGGUGUCUGUGCGAAUACAAAAACCUUAAGGUGAGCAAUUUAGCAGAACAUAGUCUUCCCCUGAAUGCUGGUAACCAUACAGCUUUACAAAGCAGAGCAGCACUGAAUGGGAGAAGAGCACAUGAAGAAUUUUUGUGUACACCUAACUGAAAGUUUUUGUUUUAUUUAGUUUUUAUCUAGGCCAAGCACAUGAGAAGCAAGCCUAUUUUACCCACAAUGUACUAUAUUAGUGUGAACAGUGCCAGAAAUGACCAAUUUUUCUUUUACAGUAUUACUCCUACAAGUUGGCUGCCAAAAACCAUAAAAAUUUUGGCAAAUCUUCUGCUGAAAUGUGUGUAAAAUCUGUGUUGCAUAUAUGUACCAGCUUAGAUUAACACCACUAUGUACAGUGGUGACUGUAAUGCCAUAUAUAUUAAACAUCUUUGAUAAAUAAGAUUUUGUCUUCUACAUU